GGUGGUUGAUGCGCCACAGAUGGGCACAGAUAGGGUUUAUUCUGCCCAGUCACUGAAGGUUUUCUUGUCUAUUCAGUGUCAUGCCUUAGAACAAGCCUCUCCUACUCCACGGCUGCAUUGCAGUGCUUCUUGGUGGCAGUGCAUGGGUGUGUGUUGAAUAAUGAAUAAAAGCCCAGGGAUUUGGAGUGUUGAAGUAAUUAGAGAUGGAUCUUUACCAAGGAAGAGCAGCCAGAGGAGAGCAGAGCAGACACAGGAACAGGGAACAGAACAAGCUGCACAGAAGAGGAGGAGAAAUAAGAGGAGAGGGGUUGGAUGAGCCAAUUGGAAGGUGAGAAUAAUUAGGUGAUGGUCAUGAUAGUAUGAGGGCCAGGUUGAGAAUUUAGCCUGGAAACCAAGGUUAACACCCAUACUGCUACAUGUUAUUUAUUUAGCCUGGACACCAGGGUUAACACCCAUACUACUACAUGUUGUUUAGCCUGGACACCAGGGUUAUCACCCAUACUACUACAUGUUGUUUAUUUAGCCAGGACACCAGGGUUAACACCCAUACUACUACAUGUUGUUUAUUUAGCCUGGACACCAGGGUUAACACCCAUACUACUACAUGUUGUUUAUUUAGCCAGGACACCAGGGUUAACACCAAUACGACUACAUGUUGUUUAUUUAGCCUGGACACCAGGGUUAUCACCCAUACUACUACAUGUUGUUUAUUUAGCCAGGACACCAGGGUUAACACCCAUACUACACAUGUUGUUUAGCCUGGACACCAGGGUUAUCACCCAUACUACUACAUGUUGUUUAUUUAGCCUGGACACCAGGGUUAUCACCCAUACUACUACAUGUUGUUUAUUUAGCCAGGACACCAGGGUUAUCACCCAUACUACUACAUGUUGUUUAUUUAGCCUGGACACCAGGGUUAUCACCCAUACUACUACAUGUUGUUUAUUUAGCCUGGACACCAGGGUUAUCACCCAUACUACUACAUGUUGUUUAUUUAGCCUGGACACCAGGGUUAACACCCAUACUACACAUGUUGUUUAGCCUGGACACCAGGGUUAUCACCCAUACUACUACAUGUUGUUUAUUUAGCCUGGAUACCAGGGUUAACACCCAUACUUACUGUGACUCGGUUUGACAUCUUAUUCUUAGGGCAACACCGUUUGAAGGGUGUAAGUCCAUGACUAUCCAGCCACCACCCUCUAACCUCCCCCACCGUUCCCUCCUUCUUUCCCUCCCUUUCUCUUCCCAUUGUCUCAAGGAGAAAGUGAGGCCUGCCUUGUUUCAGAAACAGUCAGACAAGUGUCAACGUCUCCUGUGGAUCACAUUGCAUGUGGAGCGCAGCCAUGUGAACAAUGACCCUGUCACACCCUGAUCUGUUGCACCUGUCCUUGUGAUUAUCUCCACCCCCCUCUAAGUGUCACCCAUCUUCCCC
rnacentral:lncRNA from 1 species